UGGCGGGUAGGUUAUAUUAAACUCCGGGGUUCAUGUCCCCGCAAUAUGUACGUUUACAUCUCGCCUA
rnacentral:tRNA from 1 species